GCACCCGUAGCUCAGCUGGAAGAGCAACCGCCUUCUAAGCGGUCGGUCGCGUGUUCGAAUCUCGCCGGGUGCGC
rnacentral:tRNA from 1 species